CCUGUAUCUAACCAAUUGUUUAUUUUAAACACAACACUAUGACAAAGAGCUCUGCUUUAAUAUUUUUGUUCGUCCUUUUGAUUUGCAUAACUGGGAAACAACUAUCAACAGUUGAAGCAAGGGGACCCUUUAAUUGUCCUCGAAUGGUUGAUUGCGCAAAAGUAUGUAGCGGAUUUGCCUCUUGCUGCGUAAAUGGUCAAUGCAUUUGUAAACCUUGUUCUGUUCUCAAUCUUCAACCCUUCAAUUCUCAAAUAAACUAGAAUCAUGUUUUUUUUUUUUUUACAAAAAACUAGAAUAAUGUUGUUAUCUAGUAAUUUUUAACAUUUCAUGCAAUAAAAAUGAUUAUUACGAGAAUAAUUCA